GUGCUCGCUUUCAGAGCACAAUUCCUAAAAUUGGAACGCACAAAGAUUGCAUGCCCCUGCGCAAGUUUCAUACGCAAACUCCUAAAGCAUUCCAUAUUUUU
ensembl:snRNA U6 U6 spliceosomal RNA